rnacentral:rRNA from 1 species
GGAAUCUUCCACAAUGGACGCAAGUCUGAUGGAGCAACGCCGCGUGAGUGAAGAAGGUCUUCGGAUCGUAAAACUCUGUUGUUAGAGAAGAACACGAGUGAGAGUAACUGUUCAUUCGAUGACGGUAUCUAACCAGCAAGUCACGGCUAACUACGUGCCAU